UACGUAGGGUGCAAGCGUUGUCCGGAAUUAUUGGGCGUAAAGAGCUCGUAGGCGGUUUGUCGCGUCUGCUGUGAAAACCCGAGGCUCAACCUCGGGCCUGCAGUGGGUACGGGCAGACUAGAGUUCGGUAGGGGAGACUGGAAUUCCUGGUGUAGCGGUGAAAUGCGCAGAUAUCAGGAGGAACACCGAUGGCGAAGGCAGGUCUCUGGGCCGAUACUGACGCUGAGGAGCGAAAGCGUGGGGAGCGAACAGG
rnacentral:rRNA from 1 species